rnacentral:rRNA from 1 species
GUACGAGAGGACCGGAGUGGACGCAUCACUGGUGUUCGGGUUGUCAUGCCAAUGGCACUGCCCGGUAGCUAAAUGCGGAAGAGAUAAGUGCUGAAAGCAUCUAAGCACGAAACUUGCCCCGAGAUGAGUUCUCCCUGAGACUUUAGGUCUCCUGAAGGAACGUUGAAGACGACGACGUUGAUAGGCCGGGUGUGUAAGCGCAGCGAUGCGUUGAGCUAACCGGUACUAAUGAACCGUGAGGCUUAACCUUACAACGCCGAAG